rnacentral:tRNA from 1 species
GCAAAAGUAGCUCAAUGGCUAGAGCAACGCCCCAAUAAGGUGUCGAUUGCAGGUUCAAUUCCUGUCUUUUGCU